rnacentral:tRNA from 3 species
CGGGGUGUGGCGCAGCCCGGUAGCGCACCUGCUUUGGGAGCAGGGGGCCGGAGGUUCAAAUCCUCUCACCCCGACCA